UGGGGAAUAUUGGACAAUGGGCGCAAGCCUGAUCCAGCCAUGCCGCGUGUGUGAAGAAGGCCUUAUGGUUGUAAAGCACUUUAAGCGAGGAGGAGGCUACUGAAGUUAAUACCUUUAGAUAGUGGACGUUACUCGCAGAAUAAGCACCGGCUAACUCUGUGCCAGCAGCCGCGGUAAUACAGAGGGUGCAAGCGUUAAUCGGAUUUACUGGGCGUAAAGCGCGCGUAGGCGGCUAAUUAAGUCAAAUGUGAAAUCCCCGAGCUUAACUUGGGAAUUGCAUUCGAUACUGGUUAGCUAGAGUGUGGGAGAGGAUGGUAGAAUUCCAGGUGUAGCGGUGAAAUGCGUAGAGAUCUGGAGGAAUACCGAUGGCGAAGGCAGCCAUCUGGCCUAACACUGACGCUGAGGUGCGAAAGCAUGGGGAGCAAACAGG
rnacentral:rRNA from 1 species